AUUGAACGCUGGCGGCAGGCCUAACACAUGCAAGUCGAGCGGUAGAGAGAAGCUUGCUUCUCUUGAGAGCGGCGGACGGGUGAGUAAUGCCUAGGAAUCUGCCUGGUAGUGGGGGAUAACGUUCGGAAACGGACGCUAAUACCGCAUACGUCCUACGGGAGAAAGCAGGGGACCUUCGGGCCUUGCGCUAUCAGAUGAGCCUAGGUCGGAUUAGCUAGUUGGUGGGGUAAUGGCUCACCAAGGCGACGAUCCGUAACUGGUCUGAGAGGAUGAUCAGUCACACUGGAACUGAGACACGGUCCAGACUCCUACGGGAGGCAGCAGUGGGGAAUAUUGGACAAUGGGCGAAAGCCUGAUCCAGCCAUGCCGCGUGUGUGAAGAAGGUCUUCGGAUUGUAAAGCACUUUAAGUUGGGAGGAAGGGCAGUAAAUUAACACUUUGCUGUUUUGACGUUACCGACAGAAUAAGCACCGGCUAACUCUGUG
rnacentral:rRNA from 1 species